rnacentral:lncRNA from 1 species
ACAGAUCCUAUUAAAGUGUCCAAUCGAUGAAAAUAAACAUUAAAGGUGUUACAAAAUUUUUUGUAAAAAGUAUAAGAGUCAAUUUAUGUAUUUAAUCUAAAAAAAAAUUAAUGAUUUUGGGAAUGUGCAAAUAGCUUUUGCUUGUGGCAUUACAAAAAAUAAGAGAGAAUUAAGGUAAAGAAGCAUGAAUAGAGAGAAUUUAGUCUGGGUGAGCAUUUAGUUCAAUGAAAUUGAAUCGUCACUAACUUAAACAAGAGAUCAAAAUUUAAAAAUACAAUCAAACCCAAAUGAAGAAGCAUGAAUAGUUAAAUUGAAUAUAUUAAAAUCAAAAUUUUUACAUUUCUAGAGGAAUAAAUUUAGCUAGUUUUUAAUUUGGCUUUCUUCACCAAUCAAUUUUAUUGGUAAUUCAACUAAAUCAAAUUGAAUCAAAUUGUAUCAGUUUCAUUUGGUUAGAAUCAAAAUCUGCUCAUCCUGAUCAGUGUGACAGCAACCCCGACGUUUACCGGUUGAACUCGCUAGUCGGCCUGACUCUGUUCACGAGAAUUUUGUAUCAUCUCAUGUGCGUGAUCUCAUGCGUCAAAAUCAAAAUUGUCUACCAAUUUUAAAAGAAAAAUUACUAUUUCAUCUUUAUAUAAUUGAAAAUACAAAUUAGUCCAUUUCUCUGUUUCAAGAAAUGAUUUUGUAGUUCUUGAUUUUUCUUUUCAUUAAAUCAUCUGACCCUUCCAUCCUAAUUUAGCCAUUUUUACCGGUUUAUUCAAUAAGAAAAAAUCGGUCAAAAGAAAGUGAAUAGAAAAUAAAGGAAAAAGUACCCUUAACAUCCAAAAAAACCAGAAAUAGAGAGCUUUGCUUCUGGGUCUGUGAUGAACUCAAUCGGCCGCUAGUCUUUGCUUCAAUUUCUCUGUUGGCGAGUAGUUAUUGUUUCUACCAUGUAAUAUGAACCUCAUAGCAACUGCUCUUAGAUUGAAGUAUCCAAGUCUAUGUGGCCUUCAAGUAUUAAUGGAGCUUUUUCUUAUACGUGGGUUUCUGCUAGUACUGUCAUCUUGAUUUGCUAGCUUCUUGUUUUGUACGUGGCGCGAAUCCACUGGCUCGACGACACAAAAGAGUUCCUGGGAUGCAUUUUUUUUCUUCCGUUUGUCCUUUUAACUAUAAGGUUAUUUAGGUCUUUUCCAUAAACGGCCAAAAAAAAAAAAAAGCAAAAUAAAAACGGAAGAAUUAAAUGAUUUUAUGGAAGCAAAAUUCAUUUCUUAAUAAAGAAAUGGAUUAGUUAUAUUUUCAAUUAAUA